rnacentral:rRNA from 1 species
CUACGUAGGUGACAAGCGUUAUCCGGAUUUACUGGGCGUAAAGGGCGUGUAGGCGGUCUUGCAAGUCAGAAGUGAAAUUCCUGAGCUCCACUCGGGCGCUGCUUCUGAAACUGCAGGACUUGAGUGCUGGAGGGGAUAGCGGAAUUUCUUGUGGAGCGGUAAAAUGCGAAGAUAUUAGGAAGAACACCGGGGGCGAAGGCGGAUAUCUGGACAUUAACUGACGCUGAGGCGAGAAAGCGUGGGGAGCAAACAGGAUUAGAUCCCCUGGUAGUCCACGCCGUAAACGAUGAAUACUAGGUGUAGGGGGUAUCGACGCCCUCUGUGCCGCAGUUAACACAAUAAGUAUUCCGCCUGGGGAGUACGGCCGCAAGGUUGAAACUCAAAUGAAUUGACGGGG